GACAGUCACAGUCGAGAGAGACAGAAAGGAGGCCAGCUGCUGAAACUUCAGCUGGUCACUGCGAUGGAUUGAAACUCUUCUAAGCCCAAAAGAUUGGGUUAAGUAUCGGCACAUGGUGCACAACCAAUGUGGGACUGUCACUUUGUAUAAUCCAAAGGAGUGGAUUUUGUUUGGGAUAUCCUGUGGAGACCACUUAUGUGUUAACCCUUGCUAUGUUGUGAGGUAAUCCUUUGAAGACAAUAUCCCUGUGACAGAUCACUUUCGGUGAUAAUUCGUAUGUGGAUUUGGAACGACACGACGGACAAGAUCUACAAGGUACAGCACGGUAACAGGUCCUUCCGGCUCAGCAAGCCUGCUCCGCUCAAUUACACCCAUGUGACCACCUAUAGCUACUCACCCAUACGUCUUUGGAAUGUGGGAGGAAACUGGAGCACCCGGAGGAAACCCACGUGGUCAUGAAGAGAAGCUUCAACAUCUUUUGAACAACAAGGAGAGAUAUGAGCAAUGCUAAAUGCAAGCGCCCACCUAUCAGUGCACAGUCCUGAGGUUAAAUGAGCAUCAACUCCUGUCCAGACUUGGCUAUGAGUGGAAAGUAUGUUCCAGAUAAUUCAACAAGCAAGCCAGCAAACAAGAGCUAAAACUUCUGCAUAUCUACAAUACCUCUAUUGAUCCACAGUGGAGAGUAUCCUGACUGGUUGCAUCACGGCCAGAUAUGGAAACACCAAUGUUCCAGAAAAGAAAACCCUACAAAAAGUAGUGGUUACAGCCCAGUUCAUCACAGGAAAAGCCCUCCCACCAUUGAGCGCAUCUACAAGGAGUGCUGCCACAAGAAAGCAGCAUCCAUCAUCAAGGACCCCCACCAUGGAGACCAUGCUUUCUUCUCACACUGCUACCAUGAAGAAGGAGGUACUUCAGCUUUAGAUCCCACACCACCAGGUUCGGGAACAAUUAUUACCCUUCAACCGUCAUUCUCCUGAACCAGUGUGGAUCACUUCACUCACCUCAGUACUGAACGUAACCUAUGGCUUCACUGUCAAGGACUCUACAACUCAUGUUCUCAGUACUACUUACGUAUUUAUUUAUUUAGAUUAGAUUAUUUUUGCAUUUGCACCAUUUGUCUUCUAUUGCACAUAGCUUGCUUCAAAGAUUCAAAGUACAUUUUUUAUCAAAGUAUGUAUAUGAUACACAACACAGAUUAUCAAAGUAUGUAUACGAUACACAACACUGAGAUUAUCAAAGGAUGUGUACGAUACCCAACACUGAGAUUAUCGAAGUAUGUAUACGAUACACAACACUGAGAUUAUCCAAGUAUGUGUACGAUACACAACACUGAGAUUAUCCAAGUAUGUAUACGAUACACGACACUGAGAUUAUCGAAGUAUGUGUACGAUACACAACACUGAGAUGCGUCCUCCUGCAGGCAGCCAUGAAACAAAGAGACAAUAUAGAACCCAUUCAAAGAAAAUAUCAAACACCCAACACAUGAAAAAAAGAACAAAUUGAGCAAACAGCAAAAAGCAAGCAAAUUACAUGCAGAAUAUUAAACAUCAAAUUGCAGAAUGGUCUAGGAGUGUUCACUUUAGUUUGGUUCAGUUCAGCACUGUUUUGUUCAUUAGCUGCAGGCCACAGAGCCACACCGUGGCAAAACACUCCAGUCCACGCAAAAGAGCCUUGAUCAAAUCGAGCAAAAUAGCAAAACAAGAAUAACCAGAAACCAGAAACACAUGUAAGAUGAAUUGCAGAGCUCUCCAAAAUGAGUCCACAGCCGAGCUGCACUGUUCAAACCUUGUUGUCUGAGGAAAACUACUGCAACUUCCUUCGGUAGCGGCAAGGGAGAGAGGGAGACAGGUCAGAUGCAGGCAGAUGGUGCUGAGCACCCAUCCUCGUCAAAUUCAGUCUUACUCGAUGCUUUAAGUGGAGGGGAUCAAUGGAGCCAAUCGUGGGUUGGCACUUUGCCUUUAGGCUGCACACUCCACUCUCAAACUUGCCGAACUCCCCCGGAGACAGCAAAGAUGCCAGAUCACUAAGUCAACACAAAAACAUAUAAUCUAAAUGUAAAUUACAGGCUCCAAUGGCAUGCAGUUUGGUUGUAGAGGCAUAUUUAAAAGAAGAAAUAAAAGAAGCUUGUG